rnacentral:rRNA from 1 species
GACGAACGCUGGCGGCGUGCUUAACACAUGCAAGUCGAACGGAAAGGCCCUGCUUUUGUGGGGUGCUCGAGUGGCGAACGGGUGAGUAACACGUGAGUAACCUGCCCUUGACUUUGGGAUAACUUCAGGAAACUGGGGCUAAUACCGGAUAGGAGCUCCUGCUGCAUGGUGGGGGUUGGAAAGUUUCGGCGGUUGGGGAUGGACUCGCGGCUUAUCAGCUUGGUGGUGGGGUAGUGGCUUUCCAAGGAUUUGACGGGUAGCCGGCCGGGGAGGGUGACCGGCCCCAUGGGGCUAGGGGAGGGGCCAGAGGCCAACGGGGGGCAAGGGGGGGGAACUUGACCCAACGGGGCCGCGGGCAGGAGGAAGACCCCCGGGUGGGGAAGGGCGGCUUUGGGGUAUGAAAAGCCUUCGCCUAGUACAGAAGGGGGAUGACGGUAAAGGGAGAAGAAGCACCGGCCAACUACGUG